GUUUCAGCGUCACAAACUUUUUUGUUUUCGCGCCAGAAGACUUUUAACACUAUUUAUGUUAUGAAAGAGUACGAAAAAAAGAUUAUAUUCUUUUUUUUUUUUUGAAAAAAAAAAAAAAAAAACUUUUCCCCCCCCAAUAAAUCACUGAUGAAAUAAAGCAACGGGACCACCAUAGUAUUUUUGUUUUUUAACUCCUCCCAAGGAAAGGGUGGUUAUUGGAUCAUUUACUAAUUUAAG
rnacentral:misc_RNA from 1 species